GACGAACGCUGGCGGCGUGCUUAACACAUGCAAGUCGAACGGUAAGGCCCCUUCGGGGGUACACGAGUGGCGAACGGGUGAGUAACACGUGAGCAACCUACCCUUGACACCGGAAUAAGCCCGAGAAAUCGGGUCUAAUACCGGAUACUUACCCUCGCGGACAUCCGUGAGGGUAGAAAGCUCCGGCGGUCAGGGAUUGGCUCGCGGCCUAUCAGCUAGUUGGUGAGGUAACGGCUCACCAAGGCUUCGACGGGUAGCCGGCCUGAGAGGGCGACCGGCCACACUGGGACUGAGAUACGGCCCAGACUCCUACGGGAGGCAGCAGUGGGGAAUAUUGCACAAUGGGCGCAAGCCUGAUGCAGCAACGCCGCGUGCGGGAUGACGGCCUUCGGGUUGUAAACCGCUUUCAGCGCCGACGAAGCGCAAGUGACGGUAGGCGCAGAAGAAGGACCGGCCGACUACGUGCCAGCAGCCGCGGUGAUACGUAGGGUCCGAGCGUUGUCCGGAAUUAUUGGGCGUAAAGGGCUUGUAGGCGGUCUGCCGCGUCGGAAGUGAAAACUCAGGGCUUAACUCUGAGCCUGCUUCCGAUACGGGCGGACUAGAGGAAUGCAGGGGAGAAUGGAAUACCUGGUGGAGCGGUGGAAUGCGCAGAUAUCAGGUGGAACACCAGUGGCGAAGGGCGGUUCUCUGGGCAUUUCCUGACGCUGAGAAGCGAAAGCGUGGGGAGCAAACAGGCUUAGAUACCCUGGUAGUCCACGCCGUAAACGGUGGGCACUAGGUGUGGGACUCAUUCCACGAGUUCCGUGCCGUAGCUAACGCAUUAAGUGCCCCGCCUGGGGAGUACGGCCGCAAGGCUAAAACUCAAAGGAAUUGACGGGGGCCCGCACAAGCGGCGGAGCAUGCGGAUUAAUUCGAUGCAACGCGAAGAACCUUACCUGGGUUUGACAUAUACCGGAAAGCUGCAGAGAUGUAGCCCCCGCAAGGUCGGCAUACAGGUGGUGCAUGGCUGUCGUCAGCUCGUGUCGUGAGAUGUUGGGUUAAGUCCCGCAACGAGCGCAACCCUCGUCCUAUGUUGCCAGCGGAUAAUGCCGGGGACUCAUAGGAGACUGCCGGGGUCAACUCGGAGGAAGGUGGGGAUGACGUCAAGUCAUCAUGCCCCUUAUGUCCAGGGCUUCACGCAUGCUACAAUGGCUGGUACAAAGAGCUGCGAGACCGCAAGGUCAAGCGAAUCUCAAAAAGCCAGUCUCAGUUCGGAUUGGGGUCUGCAACUCGACCCCAUGAAGUCGGAGUCGCUAGUAAUCGCAGAUCAGCAAUGCUGCGGUGAAUACGUUCCCGGGCCUUGUACUCACCGC
rnacentral:rRNA from 1 species